rnacentral:lncRNA from 1 species
GCAUCUGUCAGAGUUACAAUAGGGGCUGGGUGCCCCUGAUGCACUGUAUAAUCAACUAUAUCUUUCUUUUAUGUGUUUUUAACUAUUGAUUGAGAUUUUUACAUAUUGAUGUAAAAUUGUAGAAAAGAAAUCAUUUGAGAAUAGAUAAAAAUUAUUUUUUUAUUUUUUGAUAAAGAUUGAGCAUCAUGGAAGUCUUCACGAAGAUGAAGACUGGACUAUCAG